rnacentral:rRNA from 1 species
UACGGAGGGUGCGAACGUUAAUCGGAAUCACUGGGCGUAAAGCGCGCGUAGGCGGUCUGUUAAGUGGGAUGUGAAAUCCCCGGGCUUAACCUGGGAAUUGCAUUUCAAACUGGCCGACUAGAGUACGGUAGAGGGAGGUAGAAUUUCCUGUGUAGCGGUGAAAUGCGUAGAUAUAGGAAGGAAUACCAGUGGCGAAGGCGGCCUCCUGGAUCGAUACUGACGCUGAGGCGCGGAAAGCGUGGGGAUCAAACAGGG